CCUGAUGCAGCGACGCCGCGUGAGGGAUGACGGCCUUCGGGUUGUAAACCUCUUUCAGCAGGGAAGAAGCGCAAGUGACGGUACCUGCAGAAGAAGCACCGGCUAACUACGUGCCAGCAGCCGCGGUAAUACGUAGGGUGCGAGCGUUGUCCGGAAUUAUUGGGCGUAAAGAGCUUGUAGGCGGUUUGUCGCGUCUGCCGUGAAAAUCCGGGGCUCAACCCCGGACUUGCGGUGGGUACGGGCAGACUAGAGUGUGGUAGGGGAGACUGGAAUUCCUGGUGUAGCGGUGAAAUGCGCAGAUAUCAGGAGGAACACCGAUGGCGAAGGCAGGUCUCUGGGCCACUACUGACGCUGAGAAGCGAAAGCAUGGGGAGCGAACAGGAUUAGAUACCCUGGUAGUCCAUGCCGUAAACGUUGGGAACUAGGUGUGGGUCUCAUUCCACGAGAUCCGUGCCGCAGCUAACGCAUUAAGUUCCCCGCCUGGGGAGUACGGCCGCAAGGCUA
rnacentral:rRNA from 1 species